CCGGAUGCUUCGAGACAGGUUUCUAUAGUUUUGGGAGGUGGAUGCUGAGGACCUGAGCUGAGUGAGCGCUUCUCCAUCAAUUUCAUCCUCUGCAAGUUCAGCGCAGACGACACACUUUCUCAGUGACGCCGUAAUGAAGAAAUGAAGAAGAAAGAAAUUAAUCAGGAAGAGUUGCUGUGUGGUGUGGAAGAAGAGACUAUCUGCCCCUGAUUGUUCUGUAUUCUCUGUUAUGGUGUUGGAUGUCAUGGUCAGGGAGAUUUAUCUGAAAACUGCUUAUUAUAUAUAAAAGUAUUUAUUCUUGGCCA